AACGCGAAGAACCUUACCUGGGCUUGAACUACUCGUGGUAAGCCGAUGGAAACAUUGGCUGACCCGCAAGGGAGCGAGCAGAGGUGCUGCAUGGUUGUCGUCAGCUCGUGUCGUGAGAUGUUGGGUUAAGUCCCGCAACGAGCGCAACCCCUACUCGAUGUUGCCACUCCCGCAAGGGAAGCACUCUUCGAGAACUGCCUUCGAUAAGAAGGAGGAAGGUGGGGACGACGUCAAAUCCUCAUGGCCCUUAUGUCCAGGGCUACACACGUGCUACAAUGGCCGGUACAACGGGAAGCAAUACCGUAAGGUGGAGCCAAACCCUGAAAGCCGGCCCCAGUUCAGAUUGUGGGCUGCAACUCGCCCACAUGAAGGCGGAAUCGCUAGUAAUCGCGAAUCAGCAGGUCGCGGUGAAUACGUUCCCGGGCCUUGUA
rnacentral:rRNA from 1 species